rnacentral:rRNA from 1 species
CCCUUAGAUGUCCUGGGCCGCACGCGCGCUACACUGAUGCAUGCAACGAGUUUAUAACCUUGGCCUGAAAGGUCUGGGUAAUCUUUUGAACGUGCAUCGUGAUAGGGAUAGAUUAUUGCAAUUGUUAAUCUUGAACGAGGAAUUCCUAGUAAACGCGAGUCAUCAGCUCGCAUUGAUUACGUCCCUGCCCUUUGUACACACCGCCCGUCGCUGCCCGGAACUGAGCCGUUUCGAGAAGACUGAGGAUUGCUGACUUGAGGCCUUCACGGGCUUCUAGUCGGUGAAAAUCAAUUUAAUCGCAGCGGCUUGAACCGGGCAAAAGUCGUAACA